rnacentral:rRNA from 1 species
UCAAGUAAUUAAGUGCAUGUGGUGGAUGCCUUGGCAGUCAGAGGCGAUGAAAGACGUGAUAGCCUGCGAAAAGCUCCGGGGAGGCGGCAAAUAUCCUUUGAUCCGGAGAUGUCUGAAUGGGGGAACCCACCUACUUUAAGGUAGGUAUUGCAACAUGAAUACAUAGUGUUGCAAGGCGAACGAGGGGAAGUGAAACAUCUCAGUACCCUUAGGAAAAGAAAUCAAUUGAGAUUCCCUCAGUAGCGGCGAGCGAACGGGGAUCAGCCCAUUAAGUUAUGUGUGUUUUAGUGGAACGCUCUGGGAAGUGCGAACGUAGAGGGUGAUAUUCCCGUACACGAAAGGGCACACAUAAUGAUGACGAGUAGGGCGAGGCACGUGAAACCUUGUCUGAAUAUGGGGGGACCAUCCUCCAAGGCUAAAUACUCCUGACUGACCGAUAGUGAACCAGUACCGUGAGGGAAAGGCGAAAAGAACCCCUGUGAGGGGAGUGAAAUAGAUCCUGAAACCGCAUGCAUACAAGCAGUGGGAGCACCUUCGUGGUGUGACUGCGUACCUUUUGUAUAAUGGGUCAGCGACUUAUAUUCAGUAGCGAGGUUAACCGUAUAGGGGAGCCGUAGAGAAAUCGAGUCUUAAUAGGGCGUUUAGUUGCUGGGUAUAGACCCGAAACCAGGCGAUCUAUCCAUGAGCAGGUUGAAGGUUGGGUAACACUAACUGGAGGACCGAACCCACUGUCGUUGAAAAGCCAGGGGAUGACUUGUGGAUAGGGGUGAAAGGCUAAUCAAGCCUGGUGAUAGCUGGUUCUCCCCGAAAGCUAUUUAGGUAGCGCCUCGGACGAAUACCAUAGGGGGUAGAGCACUGUUUCGGCUAGGGGGUCAUCCCGACUUACCAAACCGAUGCAAACUCCGAAUACCUAUGAGUACUAUCCGGGAGACAGACUGCGGGUGCUAACGUCCGUAGUCAAGAGGAAAACAAUCCAGACCGCCAGCUAAGGCCCCAAAAUCAUAGUUAAGUGGGAAACGAUGUGGGAAGGCAUAGACAGCUAGGAGGUUGGCUUAGAAGCAGCCACCCUUUAAAGAAAGCGUAAUAGCUCACUAGUCGAGUCGGCCUGCGCGGAAGAUGUAACGGGGCUAAAACUAUGUGCCGAAGCUGCGGAUGUAUACUUUGUAUACGUGGUAGGGGAGCGUUCUGUAAGCCGAUGAAGGUGUGUUGAGAAGCAUGCUGGAGGUAUCAGAAGUGCGAAUGCUGACGUGAGUAACGACAAAACGGGUGAAAAACCCGUUCGCCGAAAGACCAAGGGUUCCAGUCCAACGUUAAUCGGGGCUGGGUGAGUCGACCCCUAAGGCGAGGCCGAAAGGCGUAGUCGAUGGGAAAAUGGUUAAUAUUCCAUUACUUCUGUGUAAUGCGAUGAGAGGACGGAGAAGGCUAAAUCAGCCUGGCGUUGGUUGUCCAGGUGAAAGGAUGUAGGCAUGUAUCUUAGGCAAAUCCGGGGUACUCUAUGCUGAGAUCUGAUAGCAAGCUGUACUUGUACAGCGAAGUGGUUGAUGCCAUGCUUCCAGGAAAAGUCUCUAAGCUUCAGUUACACAGGAAUCGUACCCGAAACCGACACAGGUGGUCAGGUCGAGUAGACCAAGGCGCUUGAGAGAACUCUGCUGAAGGAACUAGGCAAAAUGGUACCGUAACUUCGGGAGAAGGUACGCUGUUGUUGGUGAUGGAACUCGCUUCCUGAGCUGACGACAGCCGCAGAAACCAGGCCGCUGCAACUGUUUAUUAAAAACAUAGCACUCUGCAAACACGAAAGUGGACGUAUAGGGUGUGAUGCCUGCCCGGUGCUGGAAGGUUAAUUGAUGGGGUUAGCGUAAGCGAAGCUCUUGAUCGAAGCCCCAGUAAACGGCGGCCGUAACUAUAACGGUCCUAAGGUAGCGAAAUUCCUUGUCGGGUAAGUUCCGACCUGCACGAAUGGCAUAAUGAUGGCGGCGCUGUCUCCAGCAGAGGCUCAGUGAAAUCGAAAUCGCUGUGAAGAUGCAGUGUACCCGCGGCUAGACGGAAAGACCCCGUGAACCUUUACUGCAGCUUGACACUGAACUUUGACCUUACUUGUGUAGGAUAGGUGGGAGGCUUUGAAGCUGGAACGCUAGUUCCAGUGGAGCCGUCCUUGAAAUACCACCCUGGUAAUGUUGAGGUUCUAACUCUGUCCCGUGAUCCGGGACGAGGACCGUGUCUGGUGGGUAGUUUGACUGGGGCGGUCUCCUCCUAAAGAGUAACGGAGGAGUACGAAGGUGCGCUCAGCGUGGUCGGAAAUCACGCGUAGAGUAUAAAGGCAAAAGCGCGCUUAACUGCGAGACCCACAAGUCGAGCAGGUACGAAAGUAGGUCUUAGUGAUCCGGUGGUUCUGUAUGGAAGGGCCAUCGCUCAACGGAUAAAAGGUACUCUGGGGAUAACAGGCUGAUACCGCCCAAGAGUUCAUAUCGACGGCGGUGUUUGGCACCUCGAUGUCGGCUCAUCUCAUCCUGGGGCUGAAGCAGGUCCCAAGGGUAUGGCUGUUCGCCAUUUAAAGAGGUACGCGAGCUGGGUUUAGAACGUCGUGAGACAGUUCGGUCCCUAUCUACCGUGGGCGCUGGAAAUUUGAGAGGAUCUGCUCCUAGUACGAGAGGACCAGAGUGGACAAACCUCUGGUGUACCGGUUGUGACGCCAGUCGCAUCGCCGGGUAGCUAUGUUCGGAAGGGAUAACCGCUGAAAGCAUCUAAGCGGGAAGCCUACCUCAAGAUAAGAUUUCCCUAGGACUUUAUGUCCUCUAAAGAGCCGUUCGAGACUAGGACGUUGAUAGGUUGGAUGUGGAAGCAUAGUGAUAUGUGAAGCUGACCAAUACUAAUUGCUCGUGAGGCUUGACUAU